UAAACGAAAUUAAAAUGUUAAAUCAAUUAUUUCAACUAAAUAACAACUUUUAUCAAUCAUAUAAAAAUAUUGCGUGCAUUUAUCGCAUGUCGCAUUACAACAUUCUAUAAUAUAUUACACGCAGCACGCAAACCUGCACGAAGCAUAGUGAUAAACUAUAACUUUAAUUAUAAGUUGACAAAGUUUUAGGUAUAUAGCUCUUAUAAUGAGAAAGUGGGGCACUCAGCGCCCGUAAUAUUUCUUCAUAAAUUUUGUAUUAAGAAGCGUAAUUUUCUAACGUUUUUGGUGAUUAUUUAUGGUGUACAUUUCUAAUUAGUUUCGCGAAAAAAUUUUCAAGUAAACAGUUAAUUUUUUGUUGUGAAAAAUAUAACUUUUGAAAUGAGUGAAGAGUUGGUGAUUUAAUUGGCCAACUUACUCCUUAAAUUGACGGUAGAACAUUAGGAGAAUAUUUCAAAUUGAUGGUGGAAGAGAACCUAAAUUUGGUGGCGACCACGAAUAGAUACCCAGUGACCAAUCGGACUUCGGCGGUAAUAAUGCUCAGUCCAAAUGUGCAUCAAAUAGUUCCAAAAAAAUAAGAUAUUGGCAAAACACAACUGCCAUAACUAUUUGCAUCCUCUGAAAAAGCUACCAACAUAUUCUAAGAAAACCGUGAUAGUGCUUUCAACUGCUCAUGCCCACGAAGUUUUAAAUUCUGUAACAAAAGACCACUAGUCAAUCUUGAUUAUAAUGGGCAUAAAGGUGGUGUUGAUACUUUUGACGUGGAUUAUCUCUGGAAAUAAAAACAAACGACUAGUCCAUGGCAUUAUUUUAUAAUAUGCUGGAUAUUGCUGGACUUGCAGCACUCAAGCUGUGUGAUCUCAGUCACCCUAUGUGGAACACAAAUAAAUCUGAAAAACGCAAAACAUUUUUGAAAUAACUAUCUAUAGAGCUAGCGCAGAAUCAGUUACAAAACCAAUGCUAAAAUUGUAAUGGACUCGAUAAAUUUCAAACGGUUUCCGGCAGUGGCGAGCUCUCGACCAGCAAUACAGAUCAACAAUUUGAAUCAAUGGAGUAAAACCUGCAAAACUGCUAAGAUCGAUAGUAAAACAACAGCAGUUUGUGACCAUUGCUUUAUUUCGACAUGCUCCAAACACUAUAUAAGGACGUGUGAAAAGUGCUAUUUUACAAAAUACAAUGUCGAAGCUGAUACGGACUCAGAUAAUAAUGAAGAUGCGGACAAUAGUCCAACAACGUCUACACCCAAUCAAAAUGCAUUAAACCACAGCGAAGAAUUUCACCAAUUUGAGCAGUUUGAAAUUAAUACUUUAUUUAAUUUUCGUGUUUUUCAAUAAAAAUACUUUUGUUUCUAGCAAUAAGCACAAGUUUCAUUGAAAUAUUUGCAUAAAUAAGUGAAAUAUUUGCGUUUAUAUAAAAAUAACGUCUUAAAAGUCUAAAUUUCCAUACAAAAUACAUUACUGGGCACUGAGUGCCCAAUUCAUGAGAUUAACUUGUAUAGCUUUGUCACGGUUCUAAGGUUAAAAAUGUUCAUUACCGAAAUAAGGAGUAUUGGUUAAGUUAACCAGAACUUAACUGACAGAAGGCUGCCAACCAGACAUUGAGAAAACGGUCCUGAAAGUUGAGGCAUGCAUUACGCCUUAUGGUCUAAGGAAUGUAUACAUAUAUACAUAUACUUGUAUACAUAAACAAAGCGAGCUGUAAUGCGAUAUGCAUCCAAUGAACGAGAAAAUUUGGAACAAUAGAAGAAAAAUUUCGCUUUCAAUAUUAUUAUAAUGUGUGCUUAGCACUCGCAAUAUAGUAUAUGUUAAAAAUGUAUUUGCUUAAUUGUUGUUUCAUUUUCUGUAGCGGGAGACGCUGAUUCAAAUAGAAACAUCAAUAAGGGUAAUUAGAAUCCGGUGCAAAUGGUCUUGCAAAUGCAAAUUUCGGUGCAAGUGCAAAAUAUUUUUGCACCAUGUUCUUAAACAAAAACAAAUUACAUGUGUUUUGCAAAUGCAACACUGUUAUGCAAAUGCUACACUCAACCCCUAUUGUAUAUGUGCAAAUUAGUAUUGUAUUUCAAAAGCUGAUUUCUUUUGCAUACAUAUUUGUUUCGAUUUUUGGCGCGUCAGGUAAAAUUUUUGGUAAGAAAAGAAAUUUGAAAGAAUUAACAAUUUAAAACUUAAUAAAACUAUUUACAGCAAUAUGAGCGAUAAAAAAGUGAAAAGGGAGCGGCCGAACAAAAAAUGGACAAAGGAAGAAAUCAACAAGCUUCUGGAUUUUUUGGAGGAAGCAGAUGAAAUUGAGGCAAACAUUUUAAGAAGUUUGAAAUGUAUAAAUGCUUAUUUAUUUACUUUUAGUAGGCUCCAACAGCACAAUUUUUUUUACAAAAAAUGCAUUGUUGUUAAGGGAAUCGAAGCCACGUGGGACUUGCUGCGGUGGAAGGUACGCCACCUAAAGAGCACAUUUAAAAAGGCGAUUGAUUAUCGCACCUCAACUGGCGCUGAAAUUGAUGAAAUGGAUGUGGGAGUGGCAGUUUUGAAGGUAAAUAAUAAGAAUUGAAAGUGCUUUGGGAACUUAAGUGAUUAAAUCUUUUACAGAAAAAAUGGAGAAAAUGUGCCCCCAUUACAAUCGCCUAAACAAAAUUUUCGGAGCUAAAUCGCAUGCGCAAAAUAAUUUCUGCGCUGUCGACACGGGCAAUGACUUGCUGCUUAUCGCGCCACAGCCGUCAACAAUUUCACCGUCAACAAUUUCCCCACCAGUAUAUUCACCGCCAAUAGUCUUUCCACCAGCAAUUUCACCGCCAAUAGCCUCGCCACCAGCAUUUCCACCGCAAAUAAUCUCCCCACCAGCAAUAUCACCGCCAAUAGCCUCGCCGCCAGCAGUUCCACCGUCAACAGUUUCGCAGCAACCACUCCCACUUGGGGCCGAUUUUCCACAAUCAGUUAGAACCAUGGCUAAAAAAAUUAAAAUGCAGGCUCCCAAAACAUCAGCGGCUUGUUUGAUGGUUUACCAGCAAAACAGAAUGGAGUUAGAAAAAGAAAAGCUUCAAUUUGAAAAAGAAAAGUUGGAGAAGCACCUAGAACUAUCAAAAGCUGAAAUUGAAUUGAAAAAAGAAGAGCUAAAUCUUAAGAAAAUUAAAUUGGAUCAAGAUGAAAAAAUAACAAGUAAGGAAGGGCUAAGUUCGGGUGUCACCGAACAUUUUAUACUCUCGCAUGAUAAAGUGAUAAUCGAGAUUUCAUUAUCCGUCAUUUAUGUACAUAUUUUUCAAAUACCAUAUUUGUGUAAAGUUUUAUUCCGCUAUCAUCAUUGGUUCUUAAUGUAUAUAUUAUACAGAGAAGGCAUCAGAUGGAAUUCAAAAUAGCGUUAUAUUGGAAGAAGGCGUGGUUGUAAACCGAUUUCACCCAUAUUUCGUGCAUGUCAUCAGG